UACGAAGGGUGCAAGCGUUAAUCGUAAUUGCUGGUCGUAGAGCGGUUGUAUUCGGUUUGUUAAGUCUGUUGUGAAAUCCCCGGGCUCAACCUGGGAAUGGCAAUGGAUACUGGCAGGCUAGAGUGUGUCAGAGGAUGGUGGAAUUCCCGGUGUAGCGGUGAAAUGCGUAGAGAUCGGGAGGAACAUCCGUGGCGAAGGCGGCCAUCUGGACCAGCACUGACACUGAGGCACGAAAGCGUGGGGAGCAAACAGG
rnacentral:rRNA from 1 species